GGGGCGCCGAGGGGACGGGGGGGCUCCCGGAGACGGGGCCCCUCUGGAACCUCCCGCACCGCCCGCGGAGGGCGCCGGCGGGCCGCCGCAAGGCGGGGGUAAAAACCAGCCGGCGCUGCGGCCCCCAAGCAGGGCCUGUGAGGCCGCGGCGAGGCCCGGGUAGGGGGCUAGAUCGAUACCCCGACAGAAGCGGGGGUAUGCGGCGCCCC
rnacentral:RNase_P_RNA from 19 species